GACGAACGCUGGCGGUGUGCUUAACACAUGCAAGUCGAACGGUAAGGCCCUUUCGGGGGUCCACGAGUGGCGAACGGGUGAGUAACACGUGAGUAACCUGCCCUCAUCUCUGGGAUAACAGUCGGAAACGGUUGCUAAUACUGGAUAUGAGCUUGCAAGGCAUCUUGUGGGUUGGAAAGAUUUUUUUUGGUUGGGGAUGGACUCGCGGCCUAUCAGCUUGUUGGUGAGGUAGUGGCUCACCAAGGCUUCGACGGGUAGCCGGCCUGAGAGGGCGACCGGCCACAUUGGGACUGAGAUGCGGCCGAAACUCCUACGGGAGGCAGCAGUGGGGAAUAUUGCACGAUGGACGGAAGUCUGAUGCAGCAACGCCGCGUGCGGGAUGACGGCCUUCGGGUUGUAAACCGCUUUCAAUUGUGACGAAGCUUUUUUGUGACGGUAGCAGUAGAAGAAGCACCGGCUAACUACGUG
rnacentral:rRNA from 1 species